rnacentral:lncRNA from 1 species
UCCGAGAUCCAAGAUCGACAAGCCUCGAUUAAAGCACAGGUAUUCUGAAUCUUUACUACAUACUCCUUUAUCGACAGAUUACCUUUCUUAAGCGAAUGUAAAUCAUGGCGAAUGCAAGAUAACUUGACACCUGUGACGGCAGUGAAAAGGCAAGUGGCAGUGUUCCAAACAUCGCACGCCAUCCUAGCAUAUGUAAAAGAAGACAACAGUGAAGGACUAAUAGUAGAAAAUAACCAGAAAGAGGCAAGUAACCUGUCCUGCUGAACUAAUGCUGAGGCAUCCGGAUUUGGAACUAGAGAUCCCUCCGAAGACGGCACAAAAUGCGGCAGAACAGGUAACGUUCCCUCCAAAAAAAACCAGUCAAUUCAUAACCUUCAAUAAUCAAGUGAAUAUGUUGCUGCCUCUGUCAAUCAUUGUUGUCCGACGUUUACCAUGUUAAUAUCUACAAAAACUUGAAAGAAAAAUAGAAUAUGCAGAGAAUGAUUUUUGUAUUAUUAUCUUGAAUUUAACCAGUACAACUAUAGUAUUUAUAAAAUGUGUAUGAGUAACUGCUGCUAACAAUCUCACUUAACAGCAUAACUGCUUGUAUAACAAACUAACAACUAAUAGACUAAUAGAGUCUUUAUCUAUACUCU